rnacentral:rRNA from 1 species
UACAGAGGGGGCAAGCGUUAUUCGGAAUCAUUGGGCGUAAAGGGCGCGUAGGCGGCCUUGUAAGUGGAAGGUGAAAUCCCUCGGCUUAACCGAGGAACUGCCCUCCAAACUGCUUGGCUUGAGUCCGGGAGAGGUGAGUGGAAUUCCCAGUGUAGCGGUGAAAUGCGUAGAUAUUGGGAGGAACACCAGUGGCGAAGGCGGCUCACUGGACCGGAACUGACGCUGAGGCGCGAAAGCGUGGGGAGCAAACGGG